rnacentral:rRNA from 1 species
GACGUAGGGCGCGAGCGUUGUCCGGAUUUAUUGGGCGUAAAGAGCUCGUAGGCGGCUUGUCGCGUCGACUGUGAAAACCCGAGGCUCAACUUCGGGCUUGCAGUCGAUACGGGCAGGCUAGAGUUCGGUAGGGGAGACUGGAAUUCCUGAUGUAGCGGUGAAAUGCGCAGAUAUCAGGAGGAACACCAAUAGCGAAGGCAGCUCGCUGGGACGUUACUGACACUAAGGCGCGAAAGCGUGGGGAGCGAACAGG